CCUUUUUUUGUCCUGUCCGCUGUUACCCCAAAUCUCUCUCCACCCAUCUCUCUCUAGCUUUUACCUCUUCUGGCUCUUGAGGAAAGCCAAAAGAAUAGCCCCCAUAGUCGUGUCGAUCUCCUACUCUUCGUCCUCCGGCGAGCAGGCCAUCGACACGAAGCGUAGGUGAUGGAGAACCAGGGGUUUCUGUCGUACGAGAGGCUGGAAGGGAUGGCGAACUGGGUGGGGAUGAGCGUGGCGUCGGCCUUCUUCGCCUCCCUGGAGCGCUGCUCCUGCAUCAAUCUCAGCACCGCCGAGGACGAGGGCGAGGAGGAGGAGGAGGCCAAAGACCGUCCCCUCAUGCUCACCAACCCCGUCAAUUUCGACUCCGUCCACAGCGACGAUUCCAAGACCUCCCCCGUCUAAUCCUCCUAGAUCCUUGAUCAGUUAAUGAUGAUGAUCAACUGGUGAUACAUCACAGUCCUUGGUCUAUGCAACUCAACAUCACAGUCUCCUCUCAUUUGGAGGAUCCACAUGCUGACGAUGUUCUUUCUGCAGCAUCUAUUAUUGCCAUCACUUUGUGGGUAAAUCACACACAUCAUGAUGUCGCAAGAUACCUUCUCUGCAGGCCACAUCAUGGAUAUAUUCAAUCCUUAUUUUUCAUAUCAGUUAGUAGUGGACAUUCUGUUUGUGUUAACCCUUUGAUGGAUGAUUACUUUGCAUCUCAGAGUCUUGUUAUGAGCAUGGCACUUAGCAGUAUAAAUAAAACCAUUGAUUUUGAUUCUCCCAAGCCAUCAGUGUCUUCCUAUGUGGAGCCCCAUUUAAUUGCAUAACACUUUCUUAGCUGUUUAUUCCAUCAUGAUGAUAUAUGCAGAGGUUGUCUUUAAGGUGGAAGAUGAACUUUAAGAGGAGCUCUCACAAAGCAAUGCUCCAUGUGUUUUUCAGAACUGUAUGUUCAUCUACUUGCAAUAUGCAACAAUAAACUUUUAAGAGGAGUUCUCACAAAGCAAUGCUCCAUGUGUUUUUCAGAUCUGUAUGUUCAUCUGCUUGCAAUAUGCAGCAAUAACCUCUUAGAGGCUUAUAUCAGUGAGAUGCAAUCAAAUCGGGAUGAGCUCUCUUCUUAUCCACGUAAAAUUCGUGUCAACUUUGUAAUCUCUGCAUUCCAUUCUUAUCCACGUAAAAAUUUGUGUCACGUUGGUAAUCUCUCAAUUCCAAGGCAUCUUUAAUUCUUGAUAAAGAUGCAACUUAUUAUUGUAAAAUUCCUAAAAAAAAGAGGUGGAAACUCAUUGGGGGAUAAGGUCUCCGGGUUGGACCAAAUACUGAAUAUGAUUGAACGUAAAUACGUAGAAAAAAUUGAUGAAGGUUAUUUUAUUUUUCUCAUGUUUAAUGUAAAUUUAUAUUGGUUUAUUGAAUUUCUGUAGUAGAAUCGUCUACCAUAAAUAGAGGGCUGAAACCCAUAAAAAUCACUCGAAACUUAUUGAAUGUUUGGGUAUCUCAGUUUUUCCUUUUUUUAAAAAAUGAAGGCUUACUCUUUUUCCAGAAGUGUGCAGACAGAUUAUGCCUUGCUUACUCCUUUUUAUGCCAAAGAUAGCAUAGAAGUUGCUGGCUUGCUGGACAUGCAAUAAAUCAUAGCUUAAUAGUAAAUUUUGAUAUGCUGGGAUUGCAAUUAACUUCUUGACCUCAAUAUUCCUAGCACCGAUUAUGAGAUAAUUUUGACCUCAUGACAACCCCUCAUUUGCACACAAAGGAAAUGUCUCCUUCUCCUUUCAUCCUUGCUUCUAUUCACUCUCCCCCGUUUGAGCAGAUAAUGCUUUCAGUGUGAUAUCAACCAUCUUUAAAUAGACUACUUGUUUACAAGCAUGUGCAUUGAACAUGUUAAUUACUAUUACACUAGUGUUUGGCAUGUGCAAUGCACAUGGGAGGAAGAUGGAUGGCUUUGAUCACUUGUUGUAAAAUUGAGAUUCCAAAAAUAAAGGAAAAACAUUAUCUACCCAAUUGAAAUUUUAGGGAAAAAAAAUAGGAUUAAUUACAUGGCAUGAGUUUUGUCCAGCCACAAGCCCCUUACUACUUAUUUAUAUAGAUAGAGAGAGAGAUUGUAUGGUUUUUAGGCCAUAUUUGAGACGUGCAGAAAUCUAGGUUUAAGUGCACUUUAGAUUGUAUAGAGAUUUUAAGAAUGCUUUAAAUAUUUUCUCAUAAAUGAAAGAAAGUUUAACAUGAGUCAGAAAUGAUGGAAAAGAAAAAAAUCCUUGUUGGUCAGGAUAGAUAAGAUUAAGGAAAACUCUUUUCUUCUUCUUCUUCUUUUGAUUGCCUAUUGAUUUGUUGUUUGAAGUUCUGCUUUGAUACUUCACAUUUGGAGUGAGGAACCUUUAUUUGUCAUGGAGAGAGACAACUCUUUGUGGUUAUUCCCCUUCCCCUUCUCUCCAGAAGAAAAAGACCUAUGUCUGACUUUUGUGAAUGCGUAACAUGGGAACAUGUUGCUUUUAAACUGGUGAUAGCCAAUUGAGGAUCUUCAAGAAGUUAUUUGAGAAAUCUAGUUCAACGUUUCUCCCUUUUCUUUGACUCUUGAAACUCAUUGUACAUUUAGCAGACUUCAUAUGGCCUUGUGCAGAAACUAAUGAUAUUAUUUCUUUUUCUUCUCUUGCUGUUCGAGCUUUAGGACUAGGUUAAUUCCACCUCGGCUUGCAACUAAUUUUGAGCCGAUAAGCUGGUUUCAACAUUGGUCCUGUUUGAACUUGAGGUCGAUUCAAGCCCAAUUCAAGCUAGGCUCAAGUUGACUCAAGCUUCUCAUUAAUCUCACAACUGAUGUGACACCACUAAUAUGUAUCCUGGCAGAAGCUUAUAGGGCUACACAAUGGGUCAACAAUAUUUUCUGAGGAGGGUGGCAUAAUGUGUCCAUCUCUUGAAAGCCUUCCUUUCUUUCAUUCUUAAAUUAUAUUGUCUUUUAUUUUGUCCGUCUAUCAACUCUUAUGGACCUUUUCCUUCCUCUUGUUAAAUUACUAUUUCCCUCACCCCUGUGACCCCUCUCCGGGGCACACCUUCUUUUGGAAGCAUUUGCAAAUAUUUGCUUCCACCAUUGCCCAAGUUUUUCUUGGUUUUAAUGCCAUUAUUUGCUUGUUAUAUUGCAACAAACUUGCUGCGUCCAUUCCAUGCGGGUUGUGAUGUUUUCCCUACAAGACCUUGCAUUAUUAUUUGCUAGUAUAUAAAUCUGUUCAGUGCACUUUUACGUGCAAGAAAUUUUUUUUUUUUCUGGUCCAACAUAAUUUACAGACUCCCAUUGUCAAGAUGAGGUUUCCUGCAAUUAUUUUUCUCCGUCAAACAUUCCAUGUGUCCUUCAUUUUUCUUUGGUUGAUAUGUGAAAACCAAUUAUCUUAUUGUUUACUUGCUUCCAAUUUUAGUACCAGUUUAAAUUUUGAAUUAAAUGACUAUAUUUGAGAAGUAUGACUAUUUCCACUGUUAACCCUGAUAUACAAUGCUGACUUGUUAUCUAUCAAUUAUCCUUGAUUAUCUGUGGUGCUAAUUUUUAUCUGUCAUUGACACAAUUGUCUCUUCAUGUGCAUGGUCCAAGCCAUGUAUGAGGAGGAGGUGAUAAAGCCUUCCUUGUCAGCUUAAGCUUGGAUUCUUGUUUGUCUUUGACUCAGUUAUACCUCUACAUGGAUGGUUCAGGGUGCACAUUAAAAAGGGAUAUUAAGCUUAAUCUACAUUGUUGACCCAUCCUCUAUCAGGUCAAGCUUUGAGGACUGAUUCUUGUCUGUCUUUUGCUCAAUUUUCUUUUCACGAGCAUGGUUCAGACCACACAUAAGAAGGCCUGUUAAGCCUAAUAUACAAUGUUGGCCCAUUCUCUAUCAGCUUAAGCUUUUGGGAUCGUGCAGUUAUUUGGCAUCCACUUCCAACCUUUUUAGAAUUUUAUGAUGGUUAUUUUUGUUUGGAGUGUCUAGAUGUAAACAUUUUAAGGUUGGAGUCUUUUAUGAAAUGGUAUAGAAUAUGAAACACUAUCUAAGAGAAGAGAUGGUGCUAGUAAUAUUGAGCCAUGGAAGUGGCAGAAUGUUGUGAUACAAAA